rnacentral:rRNA from 1 species
AGAGUUUGAUCCUGGCUCAGGAUGAACGCUGGCGGCGUGCCUAAUACAUGCAAGUCGAGCGAACGGACGAGAAGCUUGCUUCUCUGAUGUUAGCGGCGGACGGGUGAGUAACACGUGGAUAACCUACCUAUAAGACUGGGAUAACUUCGGGAAACCGGAGCUAAUACCGGAUAAUAUUUUGAACCGCAUGGUUCAAAAGUGAAAGACGGUCUUGCUGUCACUUAUAGAUGGAUCCGCGCUGCAUUAGCUAGUUGGUAAGGCAACGGCUUACCAAGGCAACGAUGCAUAGCCGACCUGAGAGGGUGAUCGGCCACACUGGAACUGAGACACGGUCCAGACUCCUACGGGAGGCAGCAGUAGGGAAUCUUCCGCAAUGGGCGAAAGCCUGACGGAGCAACGCCGCGUGAGUGAUGAAGGUCUUCGGAUCGUAAAACUCUGUUAUUAGGGAAGAACAUAUGUGUAAGUAACUGUGCACAUCUUGACGGUACCUAAUCAGAAAGCCACGGCUAACUACGUGCCAGCAGCCGCGGUAAUACGUAGGUGGCAAGCGUUAUCCGGAAUUAUUUGGCGUAAAGCGCGCGUAGGCGGUUUUUUAAGUCUGAUGUGAAAGCCCACGGCUCAACCGUGGAGGGUCAUUGGAAACUGGAAAACUUGAGUGCAGAAGAGGAAAGUGGAAUUCCAUGUGUAGCGGUGAAAUGCGCAGAGAUAUGGAGGAACACCAGUGGCGAAGGCGACUUUCUGGUCUGUAACUGACGCUGAUGUGCGAAAGCGUGGGGAUCAAACAGGAUUAGAUACCCUGGUAGUCCACGCCGUAAACGAUGAGUGCUAAGUGUUAGGGGGUUUCCGCCCCUUAGUGCUGCAGCUAACGCAUUAAGCACUCCGCCUGGGGAGUACGACCGCAAGGUUGAAACUCAAAGGAAUUGACGGGGACCCGCACAAGCGGUGGAGCAUGUGGUUUAAUUCGAAGCAACGCGAAGAACCUUACCAAAUCUUGACAUCCUUUGACAACUCUAGAGAUAGAGCCUUCCCCUUCGGGGGACAAAGUGACAGGUGGUGCAUGGUUGUCGUCAGCUCGUGUCGUGAGAUGUUGGGUUAAGUCCCGCAACGAGCGCAACCCUUAAGCUUAGUUGCCAUCAUUAAGUUGGGCACUCUAAGUUGACUGCCGGUGACAAACCGGAGGAAGGUGGGGAUGACGUCAAAUCAUCAUGCCCCUUAUGAUUUGGGCUACACACGUGCUACAAUGGACAAUACAAAGGGCAGCGAAACCGCGAGGUCAAGCAAAUCCCAUAAAGUUGUUCUCAGUUCGGAUUGUAGUCUGCAACUCGACUACAUGAAGCUGGAAUCGCUAGUAAUCGUAGAUCAGCAUGCUACGGUGAAUACGUUCCCGGGUCUUGUACACACCGCCCGUCACACCACGAGAGUUUGUAACACCCGAAGCCGGUGGAGUAACCUUUUAGGAGCUAGCCGUCGAAGGUGGGACAAAUGAUUGGGGUGAAGUCGUAACAAGGUAGCCGUAUCGGAAGGUGCGGCUGGAUCACCU